rnacentral:rRNA from 1 species
AGAGCUCAAUUUGAAAGCUGGCACCUUCGGUGUCCGCGUUGUAAUCUCGAGACGUGUUUUCCGCGCGGCUCUAUGGACAAGUCCCUUGGAAUAGGGCAUCGUAGAGGGUGAGAAUCCCGUACUUGCCAUGGAAGAACCGUGCUUUGCGAUACACGCUCUAAGAGUCGAGUUGUUUGGGAUUGCAGCUCAAAAUGGGUGGUAGACUCCAUCUAAAGCUAAAUAUCGGGGAGAGACCGAUAGCGAACAAGUACCGUGAGGGAAAGAUGAAAAGCACUUUGGAAAGAGAGUUAAAAGUACGUGAAAUUGUCGAAAGGGAAGCACUUGAAGUCAGCCAUGCUGCUUGAGACUCAGCCUGGCCUUUGGGCUUGGUGUAUUUCUCGGUGGCAAGCCAGCAUUGGUUUGGGUCGUCGGAGAAGCGCAUAGGGAAUGUGGCGUCUCCGGACGUGUUAUAGCCUUAUGCAGGAUACGACGACCUGGAUCAAGGAACGCAGUGUGCCCUCUGGGCGGGUCUUCGGACACCUUCACACUUAGGAUGCUGGCGUAAUAAUA